UGAGCAAUCUGCCCUUCACAUCGGAAUAACCAUUGGAAACGAUGGCUAAUACCGAAUAUGACUUCGGAUCGCAUGAUCUGAAGUGGAAAGCUCCGGCGGUGAAGGAUGAGCUCGCGGCCUAUCAGCUUGUUGGUGAGGUAAUAGCUCACCAAGGCGAUGACGGGUAGCCGGCCUGAGAGGGCGACCGGCCACACGUGGGACUGAGACGACCGGCACGUA
rnacentral:rRNA from 1 species